GGAAUAUAAGAACCUGUCUUUUAACUUUUAACUAAAAAAGCUAAGAACCGGUUCUUAAAUAAGAGUUUUAAGAGCUGGUUCUUAACUUUUUUUAGUUAAAAGUUAAGAGACGGGUUCUUAUGUUCC
rfam:Brassica napus, WGS project CCCW01000000 data, contig: 3706